rnacentral:snoRNA from 1 species
ACCCUCCCAAUUCCUUACCCCUCAACCUUAAAUACUGAUCUGAGAGGUUAAAAAGGGGGGAAAGGUAAAACUAAAGAGGGCUUGAAGUCUUUAAUGGCAUACAAGUUCAUUUCAAACAUAA